rnacentral:rRNA from 1 species
AUUGAACGCUGGCGGCAUGCCUUACAGAUGCAAGUCGAACGGUAACAGGUCUUCGGACGCUGACGAGUGGCGAACGGGUGAGUAAUACAUCGGAACGUGCCCAGUCGUGGGGGAUAACUACUCGAAAGAGUAGCUAAUACCGCAUACGAUCUGAGGAUGAAAGCGGGGGACCUUCGGGCCUCGCGCGAUUGGAGCGGCCGAUGGCAGAUUAGGUAGUCGGUGGGAUAAAAGCUUACCAAGCCGACGAUCUGUAGCUGGUCUGAGAGGACGACCAGCCACACUGGGACUGAGACACGGCCCAGACUCCUACGGGAGGCAGCAGCGGGGAAUUUUGGACAAUGGGCGAAAGCCUGAUCCAGCAAUGCCGCGUGCAGGAUGAAGGCCUUCGGGUUGUAAACUGCUUUUGUACGGAACGAAAAAGCUCCUUCUAAUACAGGGGGCCCAUGACGGUACCGUAAGAAUAAGCACCGGCUAACUACGUGCCAGCAGCCGCGGUAA